GAAUGAGGCAGGCAGAGAGGCAGUUGGGAGUCUCUAAUGGUGGUUGCCCCCUCUCUCUUCCUAAGAUUUCCUUUUCCAUUUUGUAAACUAAACCACCAUUCAUCUUAAGGAACUGUUUGGUUAAUGUUUGAGUACAUUUACAUACCAAGUACCCGCGCAGCAUGCUGGCUUCCCCCCAAUGCAUGCCCGCCUCCAGCCUUGCAGCAAGCACCUUGAGGUCUGUACCGUGCAAUUUUAUAUAUAGGAAGAAGGGUUUAGGGUUUAAGAUCUUACCCAUUCUUCUCAAAGGAUGAGAGGCUGUGAUGAUUGAGGUUGUCUAGAGUUCUGUCGGGGCAAUGGAGCGGCCCGUAUCUUGGCGGGGCGACCCGACGCGGAAGGCCUGUUUUAUUGUGCAACCGAGGUUUGCAGCCAUGGCGGUUGCUUUGUCUCCUUUGCCCUGAUCAUGUCACAGAUCUGAGCCUCAAAAGAAAAGGUUAUGGGAGGAAACUGGAAACUAGAGAUAGAAGAACCAGGGGAUAUUUUCGUUGACUUACUAAUGUUGUUAACAAGAAAAUAUAAUGUUUCUAGAAUCUGGGGUAUUCUUUUUUCUUUUGGUUAUGAACAUAUUGAGAUAUGAUCAAUUUUAUACAAGUACUGGAAUAUUAAAAUUGUUGCCACACUUUUUUCUUGAAUCGUUUUCUUUUGUUUACGUACAGGUGCUGUACUCUUAUUCUACUGCAUGUCAUGUUGAUACUGCUGUGGCUAUUCACAGUAUGCUGUGUCCUCUUUAUUUCUGGUUUCUUGGUCAUUAAUUUUUUCCUUUUCAUAAAUCAGAAUCAUUCUGAGCAUCAUUGAUGAUGCUUAUCUGUAGGCUAUGAUGAUAUAACUUUUUUGAGUUAAUCGGAUUUUGGGCAAUUGGGCCCGUAUCUUGGCAGGGCAAACCAAGAUGUGUUGUAACCAGCGUAAUGAGUAUUGGGACGAAAUAGGUCCUAAUGGAGUUGAUUGGGAUUCAUUUAGCUCACCCAACUAGAUUGUGAUUGGGAUGGUGGUUGUUGUUGUUGUUGUUGGUGGUGUUUUAUGCUAUUCUGGUUUGCAGCCAUGGCGGUGUCCCUUCCCUUACCCGAUUUUGUGACAGAUCUGAGCCUACUUCUUAUGUCCCCAACCAAGAAUAAGUAAAACGCUCAAGAUUGUGAAUGAGGCAGCAUAGCAAUGGGCAGUUUCUAAAUGGUUGCCUCCCAUCUGCAUGCCAAUGAUUUCUCAGUGUUUGGUACUGUCAAAGAAAGAGCCUUUCUUUAAUGCCCUGUUGAUGUUAUCAUGGUCAUUGACAAUCUGGUCUGCUUUAUUGGUCAUAUUCCUUUCCCUUUUAAAAUCACAAUAGUAAGAGCGAUGUUUGUCACGAAAAUUUUCUGUGAAGUUUGGACUGUUGACAACACAAAAAAUCAGCCUAGAAAAAAGUACAAAUUAAGAACGAAGAGAUGAAAAAUAAAUUUAAACAAAUUUAGAUGGAGUGUUGAAUGACUAAAUUGCACUGAUAUCGUGUCUUCUUUCAGUGUCGUACUAUUUGCUAAUACGAGGUAAAAGCAAGGAUAUAAAAGUAAAGGGAGGAGAUAAUAAGAGUUUUCUUUAAAAUAAGCAGCAGAGAGGCAGUGGGGAGUCUGUAAUGGUGGCUGCCACCUCUCUGUUCUUUUUGCCUAUGAUUUCCUUUUCUAUUUUCACAAGGAAAAAAAGUAAAAUAAACCACCAUUGUUGAAAUGGUUCAAUACAUAGUUUGCCGCUAAACUUGCACGAAAAAUUCCUUUUACAGUUUAAGGGUGUAAUAUCUGAAUCCACGCUCUGCUUCAGCUUCAUCUUCAUCUUCUUGUUCACCUCUUCCUCUUCAUCAUGGCUAGCUAUUAUUAUUGUUAAUGUGACAGAUGAGGCUCUGAUGAUGAAAGGCAUCUCGGAAGACAUCUCCGUGGUUGUAACCGAGGUCUGCAGCCAUGGCGCUUUCCUUGCCUCCUCUUGAUUUUAGCACAAAUGUGAGCCUCCGUUUAUAAGUAAUUACUGGCCAGAAAUUAUGGCGUGAAUGAGGCGACAGAGAGAGUAUGGGAUUUGUUUCAAGGGUGGUUGCCCCCUCUGCUUUGCCAUGAUUGUCCAUUUUUUAACAAACCAACAACCCUUAAAAAAAGAAAGAGAGAAAGACAAAGAACACUUCAGUUCCUGUUUUUUUUUGGUUGUUGCAUUUGUUUGCACUCCUAAUGUAUACUCAAAACCUGAGCAGACAACUAUACUACAACAAAUAUGUGACCUUCAGAUCUUCA